UUUCCGUAGGUGAACCUGCGGAAGGAUCAUUAUUGUAUAACCGAGGCGCGAGGGCUGUCGCUGACCCGAAAGGUCAUCCACGCCCGAGUGCCCUCACACACAUCCAUCUCACCCCUAUGUGCACCACCGCGUGCGUCCCCCUUUGGCUUGUUCGGAGGUGGGUCUUACGUUUUAACACAAACUUUGUAUGCAGUGUAGAAUGUAUUUUUUGUUUUUGCGAUCACGCAAUCAAUACAACUUUCAACAACGGAUCUCUUGGCUCUC
rnacentral:misc_RNA from 1 species